UUUUGUUUCAUUGACACAUCUUUGAGUAACCCUUUACUGUUAAACUCCAAAAGCCCAAAAUGGUCUGUUCCACCAUCUGAUGCCACGAAGAGGCAGUUUUUAAGUUAACAGCUAUCUUUUGCGUUUUGUUCAGUAGUGAUUGGCAAUUCCACGGCUGAAAUAAUUUGAAUGUUUCUAGUGAAGGAGCAUGGAGUUUAAAAACACAGUGGAGCAAUUCCUGUAUUACCUCAUGAUGUCACAUGAUGGAGUGUUUUCUGUCUGAGAGAAAAAUGGAACCAAACACAACUCCAGGUAUGUUUCUGAUGAGGAAACAACAUUAUAAUGAGCCUAAAUAGCAUAAUAUAGGCCCUUUAUUAUCAGUAUUGGGACCCUCUGUUUGACUAUCCGAUGACCUGUGCAUAACGUGUCCAUUUCAGACUACAUCUAUCUUUGUUGUCUUCCUCCUUUAAGGGUCUAUUUGUCGUUAUUGUCUUUCUUAAGGCAGUAUAAGGCAACCGCACUGUGUUAGUUAAUUUAUGAAGUUCUCCCUUUGGCAAACAAACAAAGGAGCCUGAGAGAUGGAUUCUGGGAAUGGAGGUCUUGGCUACUGCUCUAAGAAGUUUAGCCCAGAGGCAGAUUUUAAUUGGAUUUUACCAAUCUCUUGAGUAGGUCUCUGUGAGGAUACAUUGUGUAACAUUUAAUCAUCCAUAACAAGAGCUCUUACUUCGUGCAUCAGGCAUUUAAAAGGAGAUGUGUUAAUUUAUUUCACUAAUUCAAGAGAAAACAACAACAACAACAUUGAUAUAUUUGAGAUAAGUUAACUUUUACAUAAUACAAUACAGGCCUCUGCAAACAAAACAUUAUAUUCUGUCUUCAGUCUACACAGUGACUCAGUCUUGAUCACAAAAGUAAUUUAACUUUAUUUCAAAAUUGUCUAGCUCCAACACAAUUGCACACUGACAAACAACCAUCCACUCUCAUUAACUUCUCACACCAGUGAAUGCUUCAAAUCUAUAUUGCAAUAGUGUUCUCCCAUUAUUAGUUUACUCUGAGAGUUGUUGUAUUGUUCAAAAAUGUUGCAUAGUAAUUUUGCCAAAAUAAAGACACAGUCAAUUAAAAUCUACUUUUUGAAGAGGCAAGUUGUUUUAAAUCAAUAUUCUGUUUUACGUACUAAUGUAACUCUGUACAUGUUUAGUUUAAUGUUAAAUACUAUAAAUAAAGCAUUCUGUAUCUAAUUUAAUUGAUUUCCCCUAACCCAGUCUCUCCAUGCUUUCCAAACUGACCAUGGAUUAUUAAUGUCUGAUUUAUGUAAAACCAGAGCUGCUCUUUCAUCCCCAAAUUGAGGUUACCGGUACUCAGCUGGCACCAGAUCAACAGUGAGUCAAUGAACAGGGACACUUCCUCUCAACAUUUCUGUAGCUAACAAACUGAAUGAAAACCUUUGAUAUUUUAGCCUUUAUAUUUAGUCCUACAUAUAUGAAUUGUAUUUUCUCCGGACACGUUUCUCCCAGACCAAUGAAAGCAACUUAUUGCAAUGAAAGUGUGCUGUGCUUUGACGUCAUUUGAAUGAGUCACCGCCUGACUCUCUGAAUGGGCUGAACUCACUGGGUGACCUCACUUUGGGACCUCCCAUUCAUUGAGUGGGUAUAUGGGCACCUGGGCUGGCAACCAUUUUGUGUGCUGUGGUCCAAGACAAGAAAAAUAUCUGAUGAAGGCUUUUUUUGCCGAAACGUUAUUUUGUUAAUAAAAUAGUAUUUGGACAUCG